ACGGUCCUAAGGUAGCGAAAUUCCUUGUCGGGUAAGUUCCGACCUGCACGAAUGGUGUAAUGAUGGCCAGGCUGUCUCCACCAGAGACUCAGUGAAAUUGAAAUUGCGGUGAAGAUGCCGUAUACCCGCGGCUAGACGGAAAGACCCCGUGAACCUUUACUAUAGCUUGGCACUGAACAUUGACCCUACAUGUGUAGGAUAGGUGGGAGACUUUGAAGUUGGGACGCCAGUCCUGAUGGAGUCGUCCUUGAAAUACCACCCUUGUAUGUUUGAUGUUCUAACGUAGGUCCCUAAUCGGGAUUGCGGACAGUGUCUGGUGGGUAGUUUGACUGGGGCGGUCUCCUCCUAAAGAGUAACGGAGGAGCACGA
rnacentral:rRNA from 1 species